ensembl:lncRNA
CUCUGGACUACACCAAACGAAGUCUGGGAAUUUUCAUUGACCUCCAGAAGAGAAGGAGGCACAUGCCUGGCCGCAAGCAGGGAAGAUCUAUUACCUCCUGCGGCAGAGCGAGCUGGUGGACCUGUACAUCCAGGUGGCACAGAAUGUGGACCUGUACACAGGCGACCCCAACCUGGGGCUGGAGCUGUUUGAGGCAGCUGGAGACAUCUUCUUCAAUGGGGCCUGGGAGCGGGAGGAAGGCAUGUCCUUCUACCGGGUGAGCUGGCCUGUGGGCUGAUGUGGGUGGGCCUCAGUGGGGCACCUGGAGGGCUGAGGCACAGGUGUGGCAGGGUAGAGGCCUCCCAAAUGGAGGCAGGGCCACCCAUGCACAUGAUUAGUUUCCAAGUGGUCUCACCGGGAAUGAUAUUGACCAUGCCCCUGCCUGGGACAAACUCUCGGGGCCUGGACGUGAUAAUGGCUCUACCCUUGUACCUGAUGACCUCAAGCAACCAUGAGUGGGAAGUCCUGUCCCCAUCUUCCAGAUGAGGAAACUGAGGCUCAGAGAGGCACAGGGACAUGUCAAAGGACACACAGCAUAUCAGUGGGAGGCCCAGGUCUGCACGCACCCCGAAGUGGGACGGCUUCUCCCUUCCUCUGAGCUCACGGUGUGGCUCAGCCCUGGGCACAGAUCAAUGUGGUGUUUUUAGAGCAGAGAGGAGUGCUGGCUCCCCCCAGUCAGACCUCCGGUGCCCAGGUGGGAGAGGCUGGUCUGCGGCUAUCGGGUGUAGCUGGAUGGGCCUCAGGUGACUCUUCAGCCCCCAACUUGGGUGUCUGAACUGUGUGUUAUCCCAGAGCACAGAGCUGUGUCGAGGUGCAGGGGUAGCUGGGGUGUGGGAAGCUCCAAGCACGUGUUUGAGCUCUGAGGAGGGCGCUGGGCAAGGUGGGUGCUGCGGGAAACCUGACCCCACCUGCCUGUGUGGUAGGACCGGGCCCUGCCCCGGCAGUGACUACGGGCAACCGCAAGGUGGAGCUGCAGCUACAGCUGUGCAACAAGCUGGUGUCACUGCUGGCCACACUGGAGGAGCCCCAGGAGGACUUGGAGUUUGCUUACAUGGCCCUAGCACUCAGGAUCACUCUGGGGGACCGGCUGAACGAACGCGUGGCCUACCACCGGCUGGCCGCCCUGCACCACCGGCUGGACCAUGGCAAGCUGGCGGAGCACUUCUACCUCAAGGCCGUUUAGCUCUGCAACUCGCCGCUGGAGUUCGACGAGGAGACCCUCUACUACGUGAAGGUGUACCUGGUGCUCGGUGACAUCAUCUUCUACGACCUGAAGGACCCGUUUGAUGCAGCCGGGUACUACCAGCUGGCACUGGCAGCCGCCGUGGACCUGGGCAACAAGAAGGCACAGCUGAAGAUCUACACGCGGCCGGCCACCAUCUCCCACAACUUCCUCCUGGACUGCGAGAAGUGGCUCUUCUUCUACCAGAAGGCCAGGACCUUCGCCACAGAGCUCAGCGUCCACAGGGUCAACCUACCUCCUCUGCCACUCUGCGGGUGGGCCCCCUGGUUGGCCUCCAGCCACCCUCGCUGAGGACAGUAUCCGAGGGAGUGGGUUUUGUGCAAGGAGGAUGAUCUCCUGCCUCUCCUGGUGUCUCCCGUAGCUCGUUUUCUGGGUAAUGGAAGCAUAAAAGCAGGGUUCAAAUAGCAAUAAAUGUUUUUUUUUGCAAAAACAUACCGAAGUCCCCAUGGCAUCCUUCCCUGUGUGCUUCCUGGGCUGUGUCUAGGGGACAGCUCCUUCCCUGGUGGCAGCCCUCUGAUCUUGGGGAUGAGAAGGACCGUGAGUCCAACAGACCUGGGCCAGGUCACCAUGAGCCUCGGUUUUCUUGGCGGCCAAAGGGGAGAUGGUGAUUGAACUCUGGGCAGCUCCCUGCUCUCCCUGCUCAGAGUUCUUGCUGUAGGUCUCGUGCCGCCUUUGCCUUUAACCUUCAGGCCACUGUGCCCGGAUGUGGGGGCUGCUAGUGUCCCUGUUCGCCAUUGAAGAAAUAGAGGCACAGAGAGGUUAGGUGUCUGGCCCACCGUCACACAGCAGGUAGAGGCGGACACGCAGAGCCCAGUACACUGACCACCACACCACCCUGCCAGCCUGCAGCCAGGAAGGUGUCCCCCAUUAGGACCCAAGGUCAGCUCCUGGAGCUCUCUCGUGGUGUCAGGAGAGCCGCAGGCCAGUGAGGGUGGCCCCGGGGAUCCCUCACUCAGUGUCCUUUGCUCCCAGACUUGGUUGGGCCGAGCCUGGCCAGUCCCACCUCUGGCCACUGGUCA